rnacentral:sRNA from 1 species
UCGACGGUGACCCCUGAUAACCCGCAAAC